rnacentral:tRNA from 2 species
GCCGGUGUGUUGGAACUGGCAGACGAGACGGACUCAAAAUCCGUUGUCCUUCGAGGACGUGUGGGUUCGAGUCCCACCACCGGCACCA